rnacentral:rRNA from 1 species
AACGAACGCUGGCGGCGUGGAUAAGACAUGCAAGUCGAACGGGAGAAUUGCUAGCUUGCUAAUAAUUCUCUAGUGGCGCACGGGUGAGUAACACGUGAGUAACCUGCCCCCGAGAGCGGGAUAGCCCUGGGAAACUGGGAUUAAUACCGCAUAGUAUCGAAAGAUUAAAGCAGCAAUGCGCUUGGGGAUGGGCUCGCGGCCUAUUAGUUAGUUGGUGAGGUAACGGCUCACCAAGGCGAUGACGGGUAGCCGGUCUGAGAGGAUGUCCGGCCACACUGGAACUGAGACACGGUCCAGACACCUACGGGUGGCAGCAGUCGAGAAUCAUUCACAAUGGGGGAAACCCUGAUGGUGCGACGCCGCGUGGGGGAAUGAAGGUCUUCGGAUUGUAAACCCCUGUCAUGGGGGAGCAAAUUAAAAAGAUAGUACCACAAGAGGAAGAGACGGCUAACUUUGUGCCAGCAGCCGCGGUAAUACAGAGGUCUCAAGCGUUGUUCGGAAUCACUGGGCGUAAAGCGUGCGUAGGCUGUUUCGUAAGUCGUGUGUGAAAGGCGCGGGCUCAACCCGCGGACGGCACAUGAUACUGCGAGACUAGAGUAAUGGAGGGGGAACCGGAAUUCUCGGUGUAGCAGUGAAAUGCGUAGAUAUCGAGAGGAACACUCGUGGCGAAGGCGGGUUCCUGGACAUUAACUGACGCUGAGGCACGAAGGCCAGGGGAGCGAAAGGGAUUAGAUACCCCUGUAGUCCUGGCAGUAAACGGUGCACGCUUGGUGUGCGGGGAAUCGACCCCCUGCGUGCCGGAGCUAACGCGUUAAGCGUGCCGCCUGGGGAGUACGGUCGCAAGAUUAAAACUCAAAGAAAUUGACGGGGACCCGCACAAGCGGUGGAGUAUGUGGCUUAAUUCGAUGCAACGCGAAGAACCUUACCUGGGCUUGACAUGUAAUGAACAACAUGUGAAAGCAUGCGACUCUUCGGAGGCGUUACACAGGUGCUGCAUGGCCGUCGUCAGCUCGUGUCGUGAGAUGUUUGGUUAAGUCCAGCAACGAGCGCAACCCCUGUUGCCAGUUACCAGCACGUGAAGGUGGGGACUCUGGCGAGACUGCCCAGAUCAACUGGGAGGAAGGUGGGGACGACGUCAGGUCAGUAUGGCCCUUAUGCCCAGGGCUGCACACGUACUACAGUGCCCAGUACAGAGGGGGCCGAAGCCGCGAGGCGGAGGAAAUCCUAAAAACUGGGCCCAGUUCGGACUGUAGGCUGCAACCCGCCUACACGAAGCCGGAAUCGCUAGUAAUGGCGCAUCAGCUACGGCGCCGUGAAUACGUUCCCGGGUCUUGCACA